rnacentral:rRNA from 1 species
GUAGGUGGCAAGCGUUGUCCGGAAUUAUUGGGCGUAAAGCGCGCGCAGGCGGUUCUUUAAGUCUGAUGUGAAAGCCCACGGCUCAACCGUGGAGGGUCAUUGGAAACUGGAGAACUUGAGUACAGAAGAGGAAAGCGGAAUUCCACGUGUAGCGGUGAAAUGCGUAGAGAUGUGGAGGAACACCAGUGGCGAAGGUGGCUUUCUGGUCUGUAACUGACGCUGAGGCGCGAAAGCGUAGGGAGCAAACAGGGAUUAGAUACCCUGGUAGUCCACGCCGUAAACGAUGAGUGCUAAGUGUUAGGGGGUUUCCGCCCCCUUAGUGCUGCAGCUAACGCAUUAAGCACUCCGCCUGGGGAGUACGGCCGCAAGGCUA